AGGCGCCCUGAGGUCACAGCCUAGUUCUCUGGAGACAGACUCUCUUCCUCACGGAGGCUCCAUUGAGGAGAUGUGGACACGGAGAGCCCAGGUCACCUCCACCCACUGGAGCGGCAAGACCAUGGAUGCACCUCAGGUGAGAGAUGGCAGCGUCUUCCGCUGUUGCCCCAACGAGCGGCUUGUUUGCGGUGUAACUGCCUGAUGGUAUCUCGCACGGUGCUUUGGCUGGAGAUGGCCUCUUCCUGGCCCCAAGUCCCCCUAUGGUAAGAGAUGAGGGACAAUGUCAUCAACAGAACCUGUUGCCCAGCCUGGCUUAUCCUCUACCACCAGCUGUGUGAACCAUCACCACCAACCCACCAUUUCACCAUGCCUCACUUUCCUAACCUGUAAAAUGGGAUAAUAGUAUGAAGAGUCCUGUGGCAUUAAAUGAGAUCAUGUAUGCCAGUGUGCUGGGACACAGAGCCUGAUGUCUUCUUCCUCUUCCUGCAUCUCUCCCCUCAAUCCUGUAUUCCCCAAGGACUGUCUCCUGGGCAGCAACCAGGUACACUGGAGCAGGAGACUAACAAAGGCCUAAGAAAUAAAGGAGGGAGAAGAACGAGGCCUCUCAGGAUGCUCUGAGCUGAUGGGAGAGAGACAUUUUCGUGUGUGUGUGUGUAUGUAUGUGUGUGUGUGUGUAUGUGUACAGGGGGCAUUGCUCAAGCAGGAGAGAGGAGUCCAGAUGUGUGUAUCCAGGCUAGACAGUGACUACUGUAAUGUCUUCUUAGCAGGCAGGAGCAACCAACAAAUUCAUUAAUUUCCUGUUUACACAUCUAUUGUCAAAGCUAAUAAUUUGAUUUAACGAGGCUGAUUACCUUCAUUAAAAACUAU